AUGAAACAUCUCAGCUGGAACUGCCGGGGGCUUGGGAACCCCGAGGCAGUUCGCGAGCUUCGCAAAAUUGUGAAGCGGGAAGGGCCCGGCCUACUCUUUGUGAUGGAGACGAAGGUUAGGGCGAAGAGAGUUGAGAUUUUGAAGCACGCACUUGGCUUUUCGGGUUGGUUUGCUGUUGAUAGCGUGGGGCUCAGUGGCGGCAUCGGCUUGUUUUGGUCAAGUGAUACUUCUGUUGAUCUUAAGAUCUACAGUUCCGGCCACAUGAUGUGGUGGCUCGGAAAGCUGGUUCCCCCUCGCACGAAUGGAGAUUCACGGGGUUCUACGGAGCACCGAGGAGCGAGGACCGAUACACAGUUGGAACUGCUUGAGACGGUUGCAUGCAAUACCGCAUCAAGCAUGGCUAUGUCUUGGUGA
rnacentral:rRNA from 1 species